AGAGUUUGAUCCUGGCUCAGAUUGAACGCUGGCGGCAGGCCUAACACAUGCAAGUCGAGCGGCAGCACAGAGGAACUUGUUCCUUGGGUGGCGAGCGGCGGACGGGUGAGUAAUGCCUAGGAAAUUGCCCUGAUGUGGGGGAUAACCAUUGGAAACGAUGGCUAAUACCGCAUGAUGCCUACGGGCCAAAGAGGGGGACCUUCGGGCCUCUCGCGUCAGGAUAUGCCUAGGUGGGAUUAGCUAGUUGGUGAGGUAAUGGCUCACCAAGGCGACGAUCCCUAGCUGGUCUGAGAGGAUGAUCAGCCACACUGGAACUGAGACACGGUCCAGACUCCUACGGGAGGCAGCAGUGGGGAAUAUUGCACAAUGGGCGCAAGCCUGAUGCAGCCAUGCCGCGUGUAUGAAGAAGGCCUUCGGGUUGUAAAGUACUUUCAGUCGUGAGGAAGGUGGUGUUGUUAAUAGCAGCAUCAUUUGACGUUAGCGACAGAAGAAGCACCGGCUAACUCCGUGCCAGCAGCCGCGGUAAUAC
rnacentral:rRNA from 1 species